rnacentral:rRNA from 1 species
AAUGAACGCUGGCGGCGUGCCUAACACAUGCAAGUCGAGCGAGAAAGGGACUUCGGUCCUGAGUAGAGCGGCGAACGGGUGAGUAACACGUGAGUAACGUACCUUCAGAUGGGGGAUAACCACUCGAAAGGGUGGCUAAUACCGCAUAAGACCACAGCGCCUUCGGGUGCAGGGGUCAAAGCCUUCGGGUGUCUGAAGAUCGGCUCGCGGCCCAUUUAGGAGUUGGUGGGGUAAAUGGCCUACCAAGCCUUAGAUGGGUAGCUGGUCUGAGAGGACGAUCAGCCACACUGGGACUGAGACACGGCCCAGACUCCUACGGGAGGCAG